AAGUCGUAACAAGGUUUCCGUAGGUGAACCUGCGGAAGGAUCAUUAACACUUUUAUCCUUUUUAUUCAAACCCCAAUGUGAACUUGUCUUCUACCCCUUUUCAGUUUCCAUUCAAUAAAUUCUUUAUUGAGUGGAGACUUUGUGAAGGGCCCUCAAGUUUUUUCUUCUCUUCUCUCUUUUUUCCCUUUUCGAAGGGUUAAGAAAGGGUUGUUUGAUGAAGGAGAAACUGUCUUCCUUUUCACUUUCUUACACUCCUAUAAUCAACCUUAACUGUUGAACUAAAUCCAAUCGCUUCUUACUUUUUCCUUUUGUUCCUAACCUAAGGAACAGAAGGAGAGGGAGCAGAUAGUGAGUGAUCUUACGUAAUGUAUGAACAACUCUUAGCAAUGGAUAUCUUGGUUCUC
rnacentral:misc_RNA from 1 species